CUUGCAGGUAUCACAGGUAAUUCUUGUUGCUCUCUCCCCAUUGUUGAAACCAGCCAUACACGCUGUUUUUUUUCUUCCCUAUUCCGUUGCUGCAUCCAUCCUUAUACAUAGUGUGUGAACGUUGCAGACUUCAGGUAAAGGCACUAAGGUGAGACCAGAGCCAUGCAACAGCUGACCUUCGCAGAGCAAAAUUGAUUUCUGCUUUAUUACUUCCUUUAUUUCUGCAUUUAACGCCUGAAGCUUUCAGCUGCAGGUUUUAGGUGGAAAAGGACACAGGAAAUAAUUUUUUUGUAUUAAUCUACCCUAAUGCCCUGUCUUCUGUGGGACAUGAGACGCUCGUUUGGCAUGAACCAGCAGAGCUCCUUGCUUUUAUCAGAGCCACAUCCACUUGUACCAGCUGGGAGCUGUGUGUGUCACUGUUUCCUUGCUGUACCUGGAAGCACCGAGGAGUGCAUUUUCACCAGAGCAGCCAGUAAUUAACUGAUUAAUUAGCUUUAAUGUUCCUGCGAUAGUUUAAUGUGCUAAUUUUUUAAAGAUUUUUUUUUGAUAGUCCAGUUAACCACUUGAAUCAUCACUAACCAAUGCAGUACUUUUUCUCUGAGGUGAUGACUUCCCCAGAUGUGUACCUACAAAUGUGGGUUUUUGCAAAUUCUUUUCAUCCAUGACACAAACCUUUGAGUUUGGUCUUAAAUGUAUUUCUAGAUAGACACUUAUUUUAUCAUUUCUGGCUGAACGGCUUUCCACGUGGUUUCUUAGCUCGUAUACAGUUUUCAGCUUGUACUUCUCCUAUGCUGUGUGUGUGAAUGCAGCGAUGUAUGCUAGCUGAGGUUGAGUAUUUUCUUCUGAUGGGACAGAAACUGACAGCACAAGAAAAACACAGGUACAGCAGAAUGUGCCAGUUCUUAUUAUGUGCUCUGAAAAAAGUAAUAUGGCAACUUAAAAAAUUAUUUUUGCUGUCUCAGUGUUAAGUGAAGAGAGGGUAAGCACUCGGGUAGAAUCUUAAUUUUAAACAAGAGGAAAAUACUUCUGGUCUUCUGGAGUUUUACCAAAAAAAUUGUGGUUAACUCCAUAGCUUUAAAAAUAUGCAGUUCAGCUCUCUGGUGCUGAUGUGUCCAGGGAUGGUCAUUGAGGAAUAGCCUGCAAUUUCUUCCAGAAACAAAUGCUGUCUGCUUAAUGGGUGACAUUUCUAUGUCUAGUUUGGACACCCAGAGAAGACUGAUGUAUCCUGCUCAACAUCCAGCAGCUCUUGCUGACUUUUUCCAGAUAUUUUUGAAUAGAUAAGAAACUUUGAAGGAGGAAGUAUAGGUGGUUCCCAAGCAUGAGGUUGUCUGACAGUGAAAUUCAGCACGUUUCAGUAAGGCUGCAAGUUGAGCAGCAAGAAGCCUGCAGAUUGCUGCCACCCUAAACUGUGUUCAGAGUAACAAGGUCCAAACUUCUGGAUGGGAAAUUAGCUGUAAUUGCAGAAUACUGUCCUUUGCUUUUAAAUGAAUUUCGUAAGUGAAGGUAUCAUCUGUUGCCAUGUUCCAAUGUUUAAUGUAAACAAAUUGGUGAUUGAAAUGAGAAUGUUAUAGCAAAAAAAAACAAACAAACACCCCCACAGACGUUGCCUUUGCAAGAAGACAUGCCAGCCAAAAAUGUGUGCAAACUGCAGUGCUUAUAUUAAAUCCAAAGUUGUUCACAUCACUUUUAGCAUAGCCCUGGUUCCUCAUCUUUCUUGGUUUGCUAACCUCUGCCAUCUUUUUGCUCCUCUCAACUGGUGUGAAGGUAAAGGUAUGGGCAGCCGUGAUCCAGCCAGCUGGUGUCUUGAAAAGAAAACUGCAACACUAAAUGUGAGCAGCUGACUUCACUGGUACCUGUCAGAUUGGGCCACUUAGGAAAUGCUGUAGCAGUGGGAAUGAGCCUGCAAUUCCAGCUUCCUCAAUGCCACACCCAAGGGAAUAUUUAAGGCAUCCACUUCUGGCCAUAGUUGGAGACAAGAUACCAGUGCUGCCUAUCCUUUUGCCUGACAGAUGUAGCUGCUCUCACAGGACCAUUGUGUACAUGGUAAAUGUGACCAUCUGUGCUGUGAAGCUGGAGGCAAGAAACAGGCAGAGAGCUCCAAAAAGAAUUUGCUGUUUGGGCAAGAGGCAAAUGUACUUCUGUUUCCCUCUGAGGCUGGUUUGGUGACUAUGGACAAACAG